CACGGGGUUGCGAGCGUUGUCCGGAAUUACUAGGCGUAAAGGGCAGGCAGGCGGAUCCAUAAGUUUAUCGUUUAAGGCGUCGGCUUAACCGGCGUAGGGCGGUAGAUACUGUGGAUCUGGAAUGCGGUUGGGGAAGACAGAAUUCCUAGUGUAGCGGUGGAAUGCGCAGAGAUCAGGAGGAAUACCGAAGGCGAAGGCAGUCUUCCAAGCCGUUAUUGACGCUCAACUGCGAAGGUGUGGGUAUCAAACAGGAUUAGAUACCCCUGUAGUCCCUGA
rnacentral:rRNA from 1 species